rnacentral:tRNA from 1 species
GUUAACGUAGCCUACAUGUAAAGCAUGGCAUUGAAGACGCCAAGAUGAGAAUUAAAUUACUCCGAUAACA